UACGUAGGUGGCAAGCGUUGUCCGGAUUUACUGGGCGUAAAGCGCCCGCAGGCGGCUUGGCAAGUUUGGGGGGAAAUCUCCCGGCUCAACUGGGAGGGUGCCUCGAAAACUGCCAGGCUUGAGGCGUGGAGAGGGAUGCGGAAUUCCCGGUGUAGUGGUGAAAUGCGUAGAUAUCGGGAGGAACACCAGUGGCGAAGGCGGCAUCCUGGCCAUGUCCUGACGCUCAGGGGCGAAAGCGUGGGGAGCAAACCGG
rnacentral:rRNA from 1 species